GCAGGAGCGCUGCGCCGGAGAGCGCACUAAGUUCUCAGCUGAUGGAGAACGGGGCGGAAAUCUACGCAGUCAUUCUGCUGUCGGUGCGAACGGGAGGAGCGAGCGUGGCCGACCCCAACCGAACCGGGCCGGACCGCGGGCGAACAUGGGAUGGGACUGCACCUGCCAGCGUUGGCACGCAGUUAAAAACAGAGAGCGGGCCCGAAAAGGAGGAGCAGCCUUCAACGAUUCAGUUGGAUUUAAUGUAUGCAGCAGAAGUUCAUGAGCUUCUAAACCUCAAAUAAGCGGAACCCGACGAACGCACAUCUAGCAAGUAGAGGCAGCAGGAGGAGACGGGCAGAGCGACCAGCAGGGUGACAUCAUCGCUAACCGUGGGAGCCUGGCCUGCUGGUUAUGCCAGCGGUGAGACUGCGUGUCACUUCCUGGGAGAAAAUGGAACAGGAAGCCAGAGAGAGAGAGAGAGAGAGAGGUGACAAGUGAGAGCUUUAACUCAAUAAUGAAGCCUUUCUCCAGUAACAGGGAAUGGAGUCCUGCUAAUGUGUGUGUGUGUGUGUGUGUGUGUGUGUGUGUGUGUGUGUGUACAGCUCUGUGUAACUGUGUUUCUCACACACUUUGUUAGCUCAGAAACCUCUUUAAAGCUUUUAACAGCAUGUCAACACUUUAUUUUGACUAUGCAGUUACAGCAGGAACUCCAUGGAGAAAAAAGCCCAACGGCCCCUUUUUCCCUGAGUCGGGGAUUUCUUCUUCCGAACAAUUUUUAAAAAGAACAGUUUGGAGCUGUGGUGUGAGAUAGAGAGAGAGAGAGAAAGAAAAUCCAAAAUCAGGAGCAGUUGAUGCUGUUUGAGUUUGGCUAAGCUGAUCUGCAGAGUUAGAGCUUUUUAGAUGGUCAAUUGGAAUAUUUUCAAAGAUUCAGAUAUUUAAUAUAUUAUAUAAAUUCAUUACACACAAAUGAUUAUGUGUGUAGUGAACAUUUAAUACCUAAUUGUGAUGACGAUGAUUUACAUUUCAGAAACAUCCUAAUUCAGUUUCUCGUUAUGUAAUGAGCAACAUGGGGAAGAAUCCUGACUCAACAUUUUCCCAGCAGAUACGUAGUCUGCUAGAAACCACCUCUUUACUCUACAAUUUUUAAAUGCAAUGAACGUAAUUUUUUGAAAUUAAGUUGGAACAACUUAAAAUGGAGGGAUUUGGAUGAAUUGGUGCCCUCUUGUGUCCAAAUGUAAAAUUACUAGAUUGAAGCUGAAAAUUCAACAAACUUUUGGGUCAUAAAAUUAAAGACAUCUUAUUGUGAAGAAAAAAAAAAUCUAAAUAUAUAUAUUUUUUUUAAAUUAAAGAAAAAUAAAAUAAUACAAAAAGAGACAGCUUAUUGUGAUCCCAUGCCAGCUGGUUCCUCCCAGCAUUAGUUAGAUAAAUAAAAUGUUCAGCUAACUCUCCCACAUUCAUAAAUGUUAUCGCUUUGUGGGAUUAAGCUUCACAUCUUUUUUAACCUGGAUGAAAUGAUUCUGCAAACCUCCAACAACUCAUCACCUGACACCCUCCUGAAACAAAUGCAAUCUGUUUCUUUGUUGGCAUGGCAACCUGGCAACUUACGUAAGAACAGGGUGCCUUUUCCAACAAACAGCAAUGCGUGCACAGGUCUUUGUGCUGCUAUGUGAGACACACACACACACACAUACACAGUGCUGCAUUCCUCUGGCAGCCUGGUUGUAACAGGCAUAAAGCCAUGGAAUCCAGUGGAACCCAGCACUUCCUCUGCACUCUUCAGAUACAGCUGGGAUAUGCAGUCACAACUACAGCAACUACCCUAAUCUCUGAUGGUGAUGGUGCAACAUGCUGACAGCUUUCUCAGUGUGAACCAAGCAAGGCGACGGUUUUAGAUGCAGGUAGCAGGAUGCAGAUCAGUCCAGCCAACAGAUCAGUCCAGUCAACAGAUCAGUCCAGUCAACAGAUCAGUCCAGUCAACAGAUCAGUCCAGUCAACAGGGGGCGGAACUGGACAAAACACCUGGUUUUAAUCUACUCCGUAUUCUUCCUACAAACAUGGCAUCUUCACACACACAAACAUAUAUAUGUAUAUAUUUUUUGGGUUUUAUUCUAUUUUUUCAUUUACUAUGUUUGUUGGCCUAGUGUGAAGGACACAUGACCCUGCUGUGCCCAUAGGUGUUCCCUGCUGCUUUCAUGACCGUCAUCUAACAAGUAUACAAAUAUAGAAUAAUGGCCUUAGGCCAUUAUUCUAUAACUCCAGGCCUCGAGGGCCGGUCUCCUGCAACUUUUAGAUGUUUCUCUACUUCAACACACCAGAUUCAAAUAAUGAGGUUAUUAGCAGGACUCUGGAGAACUUAACUGCACUUAGGAGGUGAUUCAGCUACUGGAUUCAAAUGUGUUUGAUCAGGGAGACAUCUAAGAGUUUCAGGACACCGGCCCUCGAGAACCAGGAUUGCCCACCCCUACCCUAGAGUAAAGCCCUGGGGCCUGAUGUCAUCAGCUGGUCUUGACAGCGAGAGCUUCCUACCUUCCUUCCUGUGUGUUUGUGAUGUCAGAUCUACGGCUUGAGUCCAGAGCUGACAGCAGCUGCUGGAUUUUCUUCCUUACAUGCAGAACCAUCAUGAGUUGUCAGCCUGGUUCUGUUGGAGUUCCUCCCUGCUGCUGGAGGGCAGUUCUCGUAUGCCAACUGUCUGACACUGCACUGCCAUGACAACAGCGCUCAUGUUUAAAGUCUGAAGGAUAUUUGCCGUCACUGUAAUUUUCCCCUCUGAAGCAGCAGCUCAGACAGCAACACAAAACCAUUCAGUGUGAGAGCAUGAUGGACUCCAUAUUAGUGAGUUAUAAUGUUUCCUCACUUAUAGCCUCCCAGUUGGUCAGACAACCUUAGAGGAGCUGAAAUAGUAUAUUGAAUUAUAAUAUUUUCAAAUUCCAUAUUUGAAAAUAGUGUAUUUCUUUGAUAUGUUAUUUCAAAGAACAUUAUUUUCUUGUGUUUGUGAAUUUAUCUGUUUUUUCUAAAUGUGAGCAUCUUCUCCGGAACAAACAUUGGCUACAUUCUCAUUACAAUUGUCUGGAAGUCUUUGUAGACGUUCUGCUAAAGUCGAAAGAACACAGUUUCACAAUUGCGAUGCUUCCAUUAUAUAAGAAAUAAAAUUAAAAUUACACGCGAAUAAGAAUAUUACAAAUCAGGGCAGCAAUGAAUGUAAACAGUUACAUAAAAUAUAUUCAUAAUUCAGGCAUAGCAAUAGCUCUCAUCAUAUAUCAGCCAAUCAGAGGGAACCCCGGCAUUGGAGCAACAAGUAUCUUACAUUUGGGAGUGGCAUUUUGGGGAAAUCGUAGUUGUUACAGGAGAGCUAUGGAACUGUAAACUGGUCCAUCACACUUGAAUCAAGUGGCUGAAGGCUUGUUGAAGGUGAGAGACGUCGAACACCUGCUGGAGUUGAAGACCCCUGCACUGAACCAUUCAAACACAUUUUUAAUACAGAAAUGUUGGCGUAAUGAAAAAUAUGUUUGCUGUAGUGAAACGGCGUCAUUUCAAAUGAUUUUCUGCUGUAAAGCAGCACUGGAAUGUAAACUAGUAGAAAAAGACUGAAAAAAUUAUUAAUGACUUUACCACAGAGGGAACUGUCAUUUUAAUGAGUAAUUUCCACAUUUAAUAACUUGAAUGCAUUUUAGUUAAAUAUUAGGUCAUUUAAAGUAUACAACAGUUACUCCUUUAAUACAUUUGUUAACAUUUUGAUGUAAAAUACCACAAUGUAUGUGUGUAUGUGUUUAAUAAUCCAUGGUAUCUUGGAUUGUGGCUCUUUUGGUCUUCCGUUGAGCUGCUCUUGGGAAAGGUGUACAUAAUUUAGAAGAGCUCUCAGACUUGGAUUGGACUCCUUCCAAUCAGAUGCCACUGAGGCAUCUGAUCAUGCCCCAGUGGACACACCUGUGUGACCUUCAGCUCAGCUCCUGAGGUUGUCUGACCAACUGGCAGGCUCUCAGCUGAAUCGUCUCCCAGUCUGUUGGGAGGUGAGUAUUGGUUUAUUUGCACAAGUAAAAUGCUUUUUUCUUCGUCUUAACUUUAUUCAUAGAGACUGAAGUUUGCUUUAACUGCCUGUUUCUUUAAGCUGGUCUGCUCUUGUUUAAUCAGUUUUUUCACACAAUGCUUAAGGGGAAACUCCAUGA